UGACUAUACAAAGGUAUUGUAAUAAGAUUUUAAUUGAAUGCUAAAAGAAUGGAAAUUUAAAAAAAAACUUUUUUAAAAAUAAAAAUUGAAUUUUUUUUAAUUUGUGCAAAAACAAUUAUAUUUAUUAAAGACAAGAAGACCCUAAGAAUUUAAGAUUUUACAAUUAAAAAGUUUUUUUUUUAAAAUCUUGAUUGGGGCGAUCAAAAAAUAUCAAUAACUUUUUAAAAUUUAAAUUGAUCUAUUAUUAAUAAACUAAUGAAUUAAAUACUCUAGGGAUAACAGCGUAAUAAUUUUUGAUAGAUCUUAUUGACAAAAUAGUUUGCGACCUCGAUGUUGGAUUAGGAUUCUUUUUUAAUGAAAAAGUUAAAAAAAGAAGUUUGUUCAACUUUUAAAUUCCUACUUGAUCUGA
rnacentral:rRNA from 1 species